rnacentral:rRNA from 1 species
AGAGUUUGAUCAUGGCUCAGAGUGAACGCUGGCGGCAGGCCUAAUACAUGCAAGUCGAACGGCAGCACAGCAGAGCUUGCUCUGUGGGUGGCGAGUGGCGGACGGGUGAGGAAUACGUGGGAAUCUGCCCAGUCGUGGGGGAUAACGUAGGGAAACUUACGCUAAUACCGCAUGCGCCCUUCGGGGGAAAGCCGGGGACCUUCGGGCCUGGCGCGAUUGGAUGAGCCCACGUCGGAUUAGCUAGUUGGCGGGGUAAAGGCCCACCAAGGCGACGAUCCGUAUCUGGUCUGAGAGGAUGAUCAGCCACACUGGAACUGAGACACGGUCCAGACUCCUACGGGAGGCAGCAGUAGGGAAUAUUGGACAAUGGGCGCAAGCCUGAUCCAGCCAUGCCGCGUGAGUGAAGAAGGCCCUCGGGUUGUAAAGCUCUUUUGUCCGGAAAGAAAAGCGCCGGGUUAAUACCCUGGUGUCCUGACGGUACCGGAAGAAUAAGCACCGGCUAACUUCGUG